rnacentral:sRNA from 1 species
AGUACCAUACACAAUAGCCUAACCAAACACACCUUUUAUUCAUGGAUGAGUGAACAGGUGCCCAUGUUAUAGUAAACCAUACCGCUGUACUGAGCAGACUUAAAUUUAGAUGAUGAAUUUUUUAACGCAAAGUACAUUCAAUGUAUAUAGAGGUGUACACUACCGGGAAAGACACGGAUACCGCUUGAAUGAUAUUUUAGACUUGCAAGGAGAAAGGAAAAAUCAGUAAUUUGACGAAAUUUAACAGAGGAUGAUUUGUUAAAAAUUUUGAUAGGAGUCUUAUGAAGUCAUAGUGCGACAAUAUUCCCUAUAUUGUUAAAACUAAGGAAAAGUGUGAUAUGAUUCAAGGUCUAAAAAUGUUUAUGGAAGUGAUUUAUAUGUGAUCCCAAAUCUAUCGAAAUUAAGAAAAGGAGAUAUUUCUGCUGAAAUUUCAUUCGUGGCUUAUCGGAUAUACAUUUAUGGAUGACAAGAUUCUGUGUUAUAAAUUUGGAUUUAUGUUGGAAAUACACGUUUCAACAUUU